rnacentral:rRNA from 1 species
AGACACGGUCCAGACACCUACGGGUGGCAGCAGUCGAGAAUCAUUCACAAUGGGGGAAACCCUGAUGGUGCGACGCCGCGUGGGGGAAUGAAGGUCUUCGGAUUGUAAACCCCUGUCAUGUGGGAGCAAAUUAAAAAGAUAGUACCACAAGAGGAAGAGACGGCUAACUCUGUGCCAGCAGCCGCGGUAAUACAGAGGUCUCAAGCGUUGUUCGGAAUCACUGGGCGUAAAGCGUGCGUAGGCUGUUUCGUAAGUCGUGUGUGAAAGGCGCGGGCUCAACCCGCGGACGGCACAUGAUACUGCGAGACUAGAGUAAUGGAGGGGGAACCGGAAUUCUCGGUGUAGCAGUGAAAUGCGUAGAUAUCGAGAGGAACACUCGUGGCGAAGGCGGGUUCCUGGACAUUAACUGACGCUGAGGCACGAAGGCCAGGGGAGCGAAAGGGAUUAGAUACCCCUGUAGUCCUGGCAGUAAACGGUGCACGCUUGGUGUGCGGGGAAUCGACCCCCUGCGUGCCGGAGCUAACGCGUUAAGCGUGCCGCCUGGGGAGUACGGUCGCAAGAUUAAAACUCAAAGAAAUUGACGGGGACCCGCACAAGCGGUGGAGUAUGUGGCUUAAUUCGAUGCAACGCGAAGAACCUUACCUGGGCUUGACAUGUAAUGAACAACAUGUGAAAGCAUGCGACUCUUCGGAGGCGUUACACAGGUGCUGCAUGGCCGUCGUCAGCUCGUGUCGUGAGAUGUUUGGUUAAGUCCAGCAACGAGCGCAACCCCUGUUGCCAGUUACCAGCACGUGAAGGUGGGGACUCUGGCGAGACUGCCCAGAUCAACUGGGAGGAAGGUGGGGACGACGUCAGGUCAGUAUGGCCCUUAUGCCCAGGGCUGCACACGUACUACAAUGCCCAGUACAGAGGGGGCCGAAGCCGCGAGGCGGAGGAAAUCCUAAAAACUGGGCCCAGUUCGGACUGUAGGCUGCAACCCGCCUACACGAAGCCGGAAUCGCUAGUAAUGGCGCAUCAGCUACGGCGCCGUGAAUACGUUCCCGGGUCUUGUACACACCGCCCGUCACAUCAUGGAAGCCGGUCGCACCCGAAGUAUCUGAAGCCAACCGCAAGGAGGCAGGGUCCUAAGGUGAGACUGGUAACUGGGAUGAAGUCGUAACAAGGUAGCCGUAGGGGAACCUGCGGCUG